UACCGCGUGUGUGAAGAAGGCCCGAGGGUUGUAAAGCACUUUCAAUUGUGAGGAAGAUAGUGUCGCUAAUAUCGGCAUUGUUUGACGUUAACUUUAGAAGAAGCACCGGCUAACUCUGUGCCAGCAGCCGCGGUAAUACAGAGGGUGCAAGCGUUAUUCGGAAUUACUGGGCGUAAAGCGCGCGUAGGCGGGCUAUUAAGUCAGUUGUGAAAGCCCUGGGCUCAACCUGGGAACUGCAUCUGAUACUGGUAGUCUAGAGUUUAAGAGAGGGAAGUGGAAUUCCAGGUGUAGCAGUGAAAUGCGUAGAUAUCUGGAGGAACAUCAGUGGCGAAGGCGACUUCCUGGCUUAAAACUGACGCUGAGGUGCGAAAGCGUGGGUAGCGAACGGGAUUAGAUACCCCGGUAGUCCACGCCGUAAACGAUGUCAACUAGUUGUUGGUCUUAUUAAAAAGAUUAGUAACGAAGCUAACGCGAUAAGUUGACCGCCUGGGGAGUACGGUCGCAAGAUUAAAACUC
rnacentral:rRNA from 1 species